AUUGAACGCUGGCGGCAGGCCUAACACAUGAAAGUCGAACGAGUGGCGGACGGGUGAGUAAUGUCUGGGAAACUGCCCGAAGGAGUGGGAUAACUACUGGAAACGGUAGCUAAUACCGCAUACCAUCGGAUGUGCCCAGAUGGGGUUGGCUUGUAGGUUAGGUAACGGCUCACCAAGGCGACCAUACCUAGCCGGUCUUAGAGGAUGAACAGCCACACUGGAACUGAGACACGGUCCAAACUCCGACGGGAGGCAGCAGUGGGGAAGAUUGCACAAUGGGCGCAAGCCUGAUGCAGCCAUGCCGCGGGGAAGAAGAAGGCCUUCGGGUUGUAAAGUACUUUCAGCGGGGAAGCGUUACCCGCAGAAGAAGCACCGGCUAACUCCGUGCCAGCAGCCGCGGUAAUAC
rnacentral:rRNA from 1 species